AGCUCCAAUAGCGUAUAUUAAAGUUGUUGCGGUUAAAAGCUCGUAGUUGGAGUUCUGCCAGGUGCCACCUGUCCGCCCCAGUGGUGAGUACGUGGUGCGCAUUUGGCCCUUUCAAGGGGAGCGUAUUUGCACUUAAUUGUGUGGUGCGGGAUCCUUGACUUUUACUUUGAGGAAAUAAGAGUGUUCCAAGCAGGCUCUCGUCGUGCAUAGCUCAGCAUGGAAUAAUAGCAUUGGACCUCGAUUCUAAGCUGUUGGUUGCCAGAAGCGAGGUAAUGAUGAAGAGGGAUAGUUGGGGGCAUUUGUAUUAACGCGUCAGAGGUGGAAUUCUUGGAUUGCGUUACGACACCCUAUUGCGAAAGCACUUGCCAAAGAUGUUUUCA
rnacentral:rRNA from 1 species